UGGGGAAUAUUGGACAAUGGGCGCAAGCCUGAUCCAGCCAUGCCGCGUGAGUGAUGAAGGCCCUAGGGUUGUAAAGCUCUUUCACCGGUGAAGAUAAUGACGGUAACCGGAGAAGAAGCCCCGGCUAACUUCGUGCCAGCAGCCGCGGUAAUACGAAGGGGGCUAGCGUUGUUCGGAAUUACUGGGCGUAAAGCGCACGUAGGCGGAUAUUUAAGUCAGGGGUGAAAUCCCGCAGCUCAACUGCGGAACUGCCUUUGAUACUGGGUAUCUGGAGUAUGGAAGAGGUAAGUGGAAUUCCGAGUGUAGAGGUGAAAUUCGUAGAUAUUCGGAGGAACACCAGUGGCGAAGGCGGCUUACUGGUCCAUUACUGACGCUGAGGUGCGAAAGCGUGGGGAGCAAACA
rnacentral:rRNA from 1 species